GCACCCGCCAUAUUCGCCAGAUCUGGCACCCUCGGAUUACCACCUUUGAUAUUUAUAGAAUUUUUUAGAUAAUAAAACGUUUACUUCAAAUAAGAAUGUCAAAAAUCACUUGAAUCAGUUUUUUGCAAACAAAGAUCAGAAGUUCUACGUGGAGUCAUGCUAUUAUUUAAAAGAUGGCAACCAUGUAUUGGACUACAAUGGUCAAUAUGUAAUUAAAUAAAAUAUAUACAUAAUGAUAAAAAAAAUUGU